UGAUCCAGAGGUGACAAUUGCUGAGCAAACAGCCCGUGAAGACAUCUUCCUACCUGACAGCAUCUGUCCCAUCCCUUCUUGCCCUUGUACAGGCUCAGAUAUGUUUGAUCAGCUUUCAGAUGACUACCCUGGCAGCAGCAGACUGAUGAACAUCCCAGGGUGUUCACAUCAAGAAAGACUCUUUGAAAUAUUCUCUAUUCAUGCAACUAAAAAUGAGUUCAGUUUCCUCCAUGAGAAAACCUCUCCAGUUAAUCUUCCCUGAGCCAUGAACUGUCCAGGGUGAGUGAAGAAACGUUGUUCUUACAUUGCCUGGUUCUACUGUGGAGCUCAGGCCAGCUGCUGUAAAUUAACCACACAGCAUUUGCCUCAUAUGGAAUACCUGGCUCUUGAUGCAAAGGACAUGAAUAAAUGAAUAAUCU